CAGUCGCCGCGGUAAUACGAAGGGUGCAAGCGUUAAUCGGAAUUACUGGGCGUAAAGCGUGCGUAGGCGGUGAGUUAAGUCUGCUGUGAAAUCCCCGGGCUCAACCUGGGAAUGGCAGUGGAUACUGGCUCGCUAGAGUGUGUCAGAGGAUGGUGGAAUUCCCGGUGUAGCGGUGAAAUGCGUAGAGAUCGGGAGGAACAUCAGUGGCGAAGGCGGCCAUCUGGGACAACACUGACGCUGAGGCACGAAAGCGUGGGGAGCAAACAGGAUUAGAUACCCCUGUAGUCCCUGUCUCUAUACA
rnacentral:rRNA from 1 species